UACGGAGGGUGCGAGCGUUGUCCGGAAUCACUGGGCGUAAAGGGCGCGUAGGUGGCAGCGUAAGCGUGUGGUGAAAGCUCGGGGCUCAACCCUGAGUCGGCCAUGCGAACUGCGUUGCUUGAGCACUGUAGAGGCAGACGGAAUUCCGGGUGUAGCGGUGGAAUGCGUAGAGAUCCGGAAGAACACCGGUGGCGAAGGCGGUCUGCUGGGCAGUUGCUGACACUGAGGCGCGACAGCGUGGGGAGCAAACAGG
rnacentral:rRNA from 1 species